rnacentral:snRNA from 1 species
GUGCUCACUUUGGCAGCACAUAUACUAUAUUAUUGGAACAAUACAGAGAUUAGCAUGGCCCCUGCAUAAGGAUGGCAUGCAAAUUCAUAAAGCAUUCCAUAUUUUU